rnacentral:tRNA from 1 species
GGGUGAUUAGCUCAGCUGGGAGAGCACCUCCCUUACAAGGAGGGGGUCGGCGGUUCGAUCCCGUCACCACCGG